AGAAAACUCUGCUUCCAAAUCCACCUCUAGAUCCACAACUUCCAGCCAUCUCAAUCAAGAAUGGAUAUUUUUCUUGGGAUUCUAAGGCUGAGAAACCUACAUUGUCGAACAUCAAUUUGGAUGUACCAGUUGGUAGCUUAGUCGCAAUUGUUGGAAGUACAGGAGAGGGAAAGACAUCACUAAUAUCAGCCAUGCUUGGAGAGCUUCCGGCCAUUGCAGCAGAUACUAAUGUUAUUAUUCGGGGAACUGUUGCUUAUGUUCCACAAGUUGCAUGGAUUUUUAAUGCAACGGUGCGUGAUAACAUUUUAUUUGGCUCUACUUUUGAAUCUGCUAGAUAUGAGAAAGCAAUAGAUAUAACUGCACUGCAGCACGACCUUGACUUAUUGCCAGGCG
rnacentral:misc_RNA from 1 species